rnacentral:rRNA from 1 species
AGAGUUUGAUCCUGGCUCAGGAUGAACGCUAGCUACAGGCUUAACACAUGCAAGUCGAGGGGCAGCAUGAGCUUAGCUUGCUAAGUUUGAUGGCGACCGGCGCACGGGUGAGUAACGCGUAUCCAACCUUCCCAUUACUCGGGGAUAACCCGGCGAAAGCCGGCCUAAUACCCGAUGUUGUUCGAUGAUGGCAUCAGAGUUGAACCAAAGACUUGUCGGUAAUGGAUGGGGAUGCGUCCGAUUAGGUAGUAGGCGGGGUAACGGCCCACCUAGCCGUCGAUCGGUAGGGGUUCUGAGAGGAAGGUCCCCCACACUGGAACUGAGACACGGUCCAGACUCCUACGGGAGGCAGCAGUGGGGAAUAUUGCACAAUGGGGGGAACCCUGAUGCAGCGACGCCGCGUGAGGGAAGAAGGUAUUCGUAUUGUAAACCUCUGUCUUCGGGGACGAUAAUGACGGUACCCGAGGAGGAAGCACCGGCUAACUACGUGCCAGCAGCCGCGGUAAAACGUAGGGUGCUAGCGUUGUCCAGAAUUACUGGGUGUAAAGGGAGCGCAGGUGGUUCAUUAAGUUGGAAGUUAAAUCUACGGGCUCAACUCGUAUUCGCUUUCAAAACUGGUGAACUUGAGUGAAGUAGAGGUAGGCGGAAUUUCCGGUGUAGCGGUGGAAUGCGUAGAUAUCGGAAGGAACACCAGUGGCGAAGGCGGCCUACUGGGCUUUUACUGACGCUGAGGCUCGAAAGCAUGGGUAGCAAACAGGAUUAGAUACCCUGGUAGUCCAUGCUGUAAACGAUGAUUACUAGGUGUGGGCGUGAAAACGUCCGUGCCGCAGUUAACACAAUAAGUAAUCCACCUGGGGAGUACGGCCGCAAGGCUGAAACUCAAAGGAAUUGACGGGGGCCCGCACAAGCAGUGGAGUAUGUGGUUUAAUUCGAAGCAACGCGAAGAACCUUACCAGGUCUUGACAUCGUAUGCAUAGUCUAGAGAUAGAUGAAGUCUCUUCGGAGACAUACAGACAGGUGGUGCAUGGUUGUCGUCAGCUCGUGUCGUGAGAUGUUGGGUUAAGUCCCGCAACGAGCGCAACCCUUAUCUUUAGUAGCCAGCGGUAUGGCCGGGCACUCUAGAGAGACUGCCAGGGAUAACCUGGAGGAAGGUGGGGAUGACGUCAAAUCAUCAUGCCCCUUAUGAUCAGGGCUACACACGUGCUACAAUGGCGUAAACAAAGAGAAGCGAUCCUGCGAGGGGGAGCAAAUCUCAAAAAUAACGUCUCAGUUCGGAUUGUAGUCUGCAACUCGACUACAUGAAGCUGGAAUCGCUAGUAAUCGCAGGUCAGCAUACUGCGGUGAAUACGUUCCCGGGUCUUGCACACACCGCCCGUCA